rnacentral:rRNA from 1 species
UGAGAGGAUGAUCCGCCACACUGGGACUGAGACACGGCCCAGACUCCUACGGGAGCAGCAGUGGGGAAUUUUGGACAAUGGGCGAAAGCCUGAUCCAGCCAUGCCGCGUGAGUGAAGAAGGCCUUCGGGUUGUAAAGCUCUUUCGGUGGGGAAGAAAUUGCAUGGGCUAAUACCCUGUGUAGAUGACGGUACCUGGAGAAGAAGCACCGGCUAACUACGUGCCAGCAGCCGCGGUAAUACGUAGGGUGCGAGCGUUAAUCGGAAUUACUGGGCGUAAAGCGUGCGCAGGCGGUUUGGUAAGUCAGAUGUGAAAUCCCCGGGCUCAACCUGGGAACUGCAUUUGAGACUGCCAAGCUGGAGUUUGGCAGAGGGGGUGGAAUUCCACGUGUAGCAGUGAAAUGCGUAGAGAUGUGGAGGAACACCGAUGGCGAAGGCAGCCCCCCUGGGCCAAUACUGACGCUCAUGCACGAAAGCGUGGGGAGC